CUUAAAGAUGACCAUGGGUCAAGAGUUGAUUUUAUUGGAAUAUUAGCAUAGUCCCUGUGCAAGGAUUACAUGCAAAUUCAUGAAGCAUUCCAUAUUUAA
rnacentral:snRNA from 1 species